AGGGGGUCUGCUGACCAGCGGUCAGUGUUUUGUUGAAAGCCCUCCAAACUUGUUAACGAGUAAAUAUAUUGUCUCAAUUAAAUGCCUCUUGUACUUAUUUUAAAUUCAGCUUUGUUGAUCCAGUGCUUAUUUGACUUUUGUAGUUCAUUCGAUCCUGGAGUUAAUUAGUCUUUUUUUUCAUUACAUUUACGAGCUAAUUAUAAGUUUAUUAUACAUCAAUAUACAAAUAAAUUGAGGGUCUUAUUUACGUAUGUAUCACAAGACCUGGCAUUUAUUCGGGACCCAGCUUUUAAUCAAGAAAAUAUAGUUAUGUAAUAGUUGAUUGUUAUCCUGGAGGUGCUGAUUUUGAGCAUGUUUCAGUUUUAGUAGCCUGGAGAAAAAUUUAAAGAAUUCUCUCGUAUAUUAACAAACUAUAAUUAGUUUAAUGCAUAUCUGUAAAUAGAAUUUCAUUUUCUUGGAAUGAUAGGUUGGCCCCCCAGGAGAACCUGGACCACAAGGAGACAAGGGUGAGCCUGGCCCUCCAGGUGUAGUGGGAUUAGUCGGAAACCGUGGAGAGCCAGGUACUCCUGGAAACAAUGGUGCACAGGGAGCAGCAGGACUUCCCGGUCCGCCAGGGCCUCCUGGACCCCCUGGGGAUAUUAUUGCAGUACCAACUGGUGACCCUGGACCCGAUGGUGGACCAGAUCCUCUUGAGAUUGGAAGGCUCGUACGACCUAGUGACUCUAAAGGUCCAGCAAGUGCAGUAAGAGAGGUUAUGGGAGAGAAAGGUGAUGCUGGACCACCUGGACAGGCUGGAAUACCAGGACCCAGAGGACCAGACGGAUCGCAAGGAGAACCGGGUGAAGCAGGUCUUGUUGGGGCUGCUGGUGCACCGGUAAGCUCUGAAUUUCAUUUUAAAAUAGACUUUAUAUGAUAACUGCAGA